rnacentral:rRNA from 1 species
GACAGAGGGUGCAAACGUUGUUCGGAAUUACUGGGCGUAAAGCGCGUGUAGGCUGUUCGGAAAGUCGGAUGUGAAAGCCCUGGGCUCAACCCAGGAAGUGCAUUCGAAACUCCCGAACUGGAGUCCUGGAGAGGAAGGCGGAAUUCUCGGUGUAGAGGUGAAAUUCGUAGAUAUCGAGAGGAACAUCGGUGGCGAAGGCGGCCUUCUGGACAGUGACUGACGCUGAGACGCGAAAGCGUGGGGAGCGAACAGG